AUGGCCUGGUCCCCUCUCGUCCUCAGCCUCCUCACUCACUGCACAGGGUCCUGGGCCCAGUCUGUGCUGACUCAGCCGCCCUCCAUGUCUGGGGCUCUGGGCCAGACGUUCACCAUCUCCUGCACUGGAAGCAGCUCCAACAUCGGGGGUGGUUAUGGUGUUAAGUGGUACCAACAGCUCCCAGGAAAAGCCCCCAGAACCGUCAUCUAUUAUGAUAGCAAUCGACCCUCAGGGGUCCCAAAUCGAUUCUCUGGCUCCAGGUCUGGCAGCUCAGGCACCUUGACCAUCACUGGGCUCCAGGCUGAGGACGAGGCUGAGUAUUACUGCUCAGCGUCAUCCGGGUCCUUGUUAGGGGGAAAAGGAACAAAAUAG